GAUGAACGCUAGCGGCAGGCUUAAUACAUGCAAGUUGAGGGGCAGCAUGAUAUACGCGAGUAUAUUGAUGGCGACCGGCGGACGGGUGAGUAAUAGGUAGGAGACCUACCUCAUACAGGGGGAUAGCAUAGAGAAAUCUGUGGUAAUACCCCAUGAGGUUAUAUGAAUAGAGGCAUAUAAUCAAAGCAUAAGCGAUUAUGCGGUAUGAGAGGGGCCUACUGACCAUUAGCUAGUUGGUGAGGUAAGGGCUCACCAAGGCGAAGAUGGUUAGGGGUUUUGAGAGAGAGACCCCCCACAUUGGAACUGAGAGACGGUCCAGACUCCUACGGGAGGCAGCAGUAGGGAAUAUUGGGCAAUGGGCGAAAGCCUGACCCAGCCAUGCCGCGUGAAGGAAGACAGCCUUAUGGGUUGUAAACUUCUUUACUACGCGAAUAGAGGUUAGUACGAGAUACUAAUAGGAAGGUAGUGUAAGUAAAAAGCAACCGGCUAACUCCGUACG
rnacentral:rRNA from 1 species